GGAUUAGGCAUGCAAGUCGAACGAGAAAGGCAUCUUCGGGUGCCGAGUAAAGUGGCGAAAGGGUGAGUAACGCAUAGAUAACCUGCCCCUGAGAUGGGAAUAACUCCUUGAAAGGGGAGCUAAUACCCAAUAAUACGGCAAGCCACAGGGUUUGCCGUCAAAGAUAGUUAACGCCUUCGCUCAGGGAGGGGUCUAUGUCCUAUUAGCUUGUUGGUAGGGUAACAGCCUACCAAGGCAAUGAUGGGUAGCCGACCUGAGAGGGUGACCGGCCACACUGGGACUGAGACACUGCCCAGACUCCUACGGGAGGCUGCAGUCGAGAAUCUUCCGCAAUGCGCGCAAGCGUGACGGAGCGACGCCGCGUGGGGGAUGAAGGCCUUCGGGUUGUAAACCCUUGUCACCUGGAAAGAAAGACAGGUGGUGAAUAGCCAGCCUGUUUGACGUUACCAGGAGAGGAAGCACCGGCUAAAUACGUGCCAGCAGCCGCGGUAAUACGUAUGGUGCUAACGUUGUUCGGAAUCACUGGGCUUAAAGAGCACGUAGGCGGUUGAGAAAGUCUGGUGUGAAAUCCCUCGGCUCAACCGGGGAACUGCACCAGAAACUUCUUAGCUAGAGUACAGGAGGGGAGAGUGGAAUUCCUGGUGGAGCGGUGAAAUGCGUAGAUAUCAGGAGGAACGCCGGUGGCGAAAGCGACUCUCUGGCCUGUUACUGACGCUGAGGUGCGAAAGCUAGGGGAGCGAACGGGAUUAGAUACCCCGGUAGUCCUAGCCCUAAACGAUGGGCACUAAGUAGAGGGGUUUU
rnacentral:rRNA from 1 species